rnacentral:rRNA from 1 species
CCUACGGGAGGCAGCAGUGGGGAAUAUUGGGCAAUGGACGCAACUCUGACCCAGCAACGCCGCGUGAAUGAAGAAGGUCUUCGGAUUGUAAAGUUCUUUUAUCAGGGACGAAGAAGAUGACGGUACCUGAGUAAUAAGCCACCGCAAACUAAGUGCCAGCAGCCGCUGUAAUACAUAGGUGGCAAGCGUUGACCGGAUUGAGUGGGCGUAAAGGGAGCGUAGGCUGGCGGUUAAGUUGGAAGUGAAAUCCCGGGGCUCAACCCUGGAAGUGCAUUCGAGACUGGGGGACUUGAGUGUAAGAGGGGUAAGCGGAAUUCCUAGUGUAGCGGUGGAAUGCGUAGAUAUUAGGAGGAACACCAGUGGCGAAGGCGGCUUACUGGAUUAUAACUGACGCUGAGGCUCGAAAGCGUGGGUAGCAAACAGGAUUAGAUACCCCAGUAGUC